rnacentral:misc_RNA from 1 species
AUCGACCAAAUAUUAUCAUUAAUGAAUUCAAAGAAAAGAAAAAAAAUAUUCGCUGUCUCUGCUGUGUUUGAACAAAACACACCUAUUUAAUAAGUGGAAAGUUUGUCACCCUGAAUUUUGAGAUUUUUUAGCUCAUGGUGUGUUGGUGACAUUGAUGAGAAGUAUGUUUUUGUUUCAUUUUGUGAGGUUAAUUUGUUAAUUAUCAGUUUGAAAAUGAGUUAUAAGUUUAGUUUUAGUCCAGAAUGCCGGCAGAAAAUAUUCAGUAUUCAGAAAAAUAUUGCGAUGAACAUUAUGAGUAUCGUCAUGUUAUUUUGCCUCCAGAUUUGGCUAAACUGGUGCCCAGGCCUCAUUUAAUGACAGAGACAGAAUGGAGAAAUUUAGGAGUACAGCAGAGCCCGAACUGGGUCCAUUACAUGCUUCACACCCCUGAACCGCAUGUGCUUUUGUUCAGGAGACCUUUAAAUGGAACAAUUCAAUAGACUAGAAUAGAGACAUUAACAUAAUAAUGGU